AAACUCUGAAACUUGUGGUUUGUAAACAGAUGCACCAUCUGAUAAGGCACCUGAGCUUGCAGAGCAGAGGGCAAAGAAGCACGUUGUGUCCUUCCAGGCCUCAUUCCACAGGCAAUCUAUUUGCCCUCUCUGACCGACUGCAGCUGGAACUUCACCCCAAACCCUGAUGAGAGACACUGUGUUGCAAAGGCUGAAGCCAUUACAGGGACUGCUACAACACUUGUGAAUGCACAACAGUGAAUGACUGGAGAUGCAGGAACAUGGAGGACCACAGAGCAGAAAGUCCCUUUCAGUGCUGCAGGAUGCCUUUGUAUAUUGAUCGAGACUAACAUGGCUCUGUCACUGAAUUCUACCACCUUCAGGCACGACUGACAACUUCUUUAUCUUCCUCUGAAGUUCUCUACAUUUUGCAGAAGUGUUUCGUUUUGGAAUUAUAACAGGAUCAAUCAAAUAUUAAGAGGGCUGUGUUUUUGCUGUAAACCCCCCUUCCAUAAACAAAAGGGAAGAUAAAUAAUGAUUUUUAAAUAA